CAGAAGGCAAGGUGAAACCCUAGUUUCACCAACUUCAUCAAAUUCAGUAGGAAUCUCAAUGAAAAUCGGAUGCAUGAACCUCAAUUUGCAAACAUCUAACCUUGUUCAGUAAAGUGGAUCAUGUUAAGAUGGAAAAGCAUGGAAGGCAAACGGAAAGGGAUAUGAGGAAGCAUGUACGAGACGGGCACUCGAGGUUAUGAAUGUCGGACUUUCGAAGUGUUGAUAUAGUAAUGAAAUGGUUGAAUGUUAGAAGGAUAAUCGGGUUGAAGAAACUUAAGCGGUUAGAUUAUGCUAUGGACGUUUUGGUUUAUACGAUAUUUCAUGUUUGGUCGUCACCACCUACUAACGGGUUAGUUGUACGAAAGUAUAUGUCAUGCCCAUUUAAUUGGAUAAUCGAAUGCGUAAGAGAAAUGAAAGUACGUACACGAAUGGAACUAA